rnacentral:rRNA from 1 species
CAACUUUCAACAACGGAUCUCUUGGCUCUUGCAUCGAUGAAGAACGCAGCGAAAUACGAAAAGUAAUGUGAAUUGCAGAAUUCCGUGAAUCAUCAAAUCUUUGAACGCAAAUUGCACUCUUUGGUAUUCCGAAGAGUAUGCUUGCUUGAGGGUUGUU